rnacentral:rRNA from 1 species
GACGAACGCUGGCGGCGUGCUUAACACAUGCAAGUCGAACGAUGAACCCGGAGCUUGCUCCGGCGGAUUAGUGGCGAACGGGUGAGUAACACGUGAGUAACCUGCCCUUGACUCUGGGAUAACUGCUAGAAAUGGUAGCUAAUACCGGAUACGACCCUCGGUGGCAUCACCAGGGGGUGGAAAGAAUUUCGGUCAAGGAUGGACUCGCGGCCUAUCAGCUAGUUGGUGAGGUAACGGCUCACCAAGGCGACGACGGGUAGCCGGCCUGAGAGGGUGACCGGCCACACUGGGACUGAGACACGGCCCAGACUCCUACGGGAGGCAGCAGUGGGGAAUAUUGCACAAUGGGCGCAGGCCUGAUGCAGCAACGCCGCGUGAGGGAUGACGGCCUUCGGGUUGUAACCCUCUUUUAGUAGGGAAGAAGCGAAAGUGACGGUACCUGCAGAAAAAGCACCGGCUAACUACGUGCCAGCCGCCGCAGUAA